rnacentral:lncRNA from 1 species
GAGCUGCAGUAGUUGGCCAGGAAUGUGAAGUCCAGAUCGUGUUCAAGAACCCCCUGCCUAUCACCCUCACCAACGUUGUCUUCCGGCUCGAAGGUUCUGGGUUACAGAGACCCAAGGUCCUCAAUGUUGGGGACAUCGGGGGUAACGAGACGGUUACACUGCGCCAGACAUUUGUUCCUGUGCGACCAGGCCCCCGCCAGCUCAUUGCCAGUCUGGACAGUCCACAGCUUUCCCAAGUACACGGUGUCAUUCAAGUGGAUGUGGCCCCAUCCUCUGGAGGCAGAGGUUUCUCAGAGGCUGUUACUCUUUACCUGUGCUGAUAAUAAACCGUUUUUUAAUGAAGAA